AACAGAAUCAAGAGAAGAGGAAAAAAGGGACUUGUAGAGAAAAGAAAGAAAAGAACUUCAGUAAAAAGAGGAGUUUUUAGGAAACAAAAUAAAAUUAAAAAUAAGAUAAUAAUCUCAACUCCCCACUACCCCACUAACAAUCAAAUCCCACCAAAACCGACCCAUGAUCCUCAUCCAACUACCUCCAAAUUUCAAUUCUACCAAACCUCUACUACACCACCAGCACACACCCACAGAAACAAAAAUUAUUG
rnacentral:lncRNA from 1 species